rnacentral:rRNA from 1 species
UACGUAGGCAGCAAGCGUUGUUCGGAGUUACUGGGCGUAAAGGGUGUGUAGGCGGUUCUUUAAGUUUGCUGUGAAAUCUCCCGGCUUAACCGGGAGGGUGCGGUGAAUACUGAGGGACUAGAGUACGGGAGAGGAAAGUGGAAUUCCUGGUGUAGCGGUGAAAUGCGUAGAUAUCUGGAGGAACACCGGUGGCGAAGGCGGCGUUCUGGACUGCAACUGACACUGAGGAACCAAAGCCAGGGUAGCAAACGGG